CAUUGUUAAAUCGUUUUGUUACAUAAAUUCAAAUGUUACGCUUCAUUUGAAUUUACUUUAAUUUGCCGCCUCGGCGAACCGUGUACGCGCACCGGAAGUUUCAAAUCAUCAUUACUCUUUUUCAAGUUGUACUACCAUCUACUCUCGCCUGGAUGUGCAAUAAUUUGAUUUUAUAAUUAAAACACAACGUAUCAUGAAUACAGCGUUGUUUUCGUUUGAUCGUCAGGACGUCGAAAACAGCGGACCAAUAUCGCCGCAAGGAAAAAUUUCAAUCAGGCCACGAGACAUACAAAGAACGAGUACGUAAUAACGGUGGAGAACAAUUUCACGCUACAGUGAAUACAGUUAACAAUUAUUAUAAUUAGAGAUGCAAGGUAAUUAAUUAAAGUAGCAUUGAAUUGAUUAAAAAAAAUUGAUGCAGGUAAUGUUGCGUGUGCCAGGCGCCCCCUUAAUCAGUACCGCCCGUAGUGCAGACCAAGAGAGACGCAUAUUAUUUAACCUUAUUAUUUAUAUUCUUUGAAUGCAUUAUUUCUUUAAUAACAUUACAUUCUAAAGCAUGUAUUUAAUACCUUCAGGUACAAUGCGAUUAACUUAAACAGAGAAGGUAUCGAUACAUCGAUAGCGGGAUAUAAAGUGAAAUUCAAAGCCGUAGAGUAUUAUCCCAGGAUUACGCACACAGAGAGAAUAAUUAUGGGCUUGCGCAGAUCGUCGGUCGGGG